AUGGCAGCCGACACGGAGAGAGACAUGAGCUUUCCUCCUCCGGGGCACCAUCGCUGCCCUCAUCUGUGCGGAGCGUGGGGCGGGCCCCGCCAGCCCCCUCAGCCGAGAGCUCACCCCGGGCACAGCAGGGGCAGCUGUUCCCUCCCGGCUCAGGGCUUUCCUAGAGAGCUGCUGGGAGCCCUGCAGCCCCGGAGGAAAUUCCCACUUCCAGGGGCUGCUGUUCCUGCUUGUCCACGUGGAGCUUCUCCAAAGACUCUGGAAAGAGCAGCAUUGAGGAAAUGUCCUAGCACACUUUCAGGGGAAGCUGAACGUGGUACCACAGAAAAAUUCCCAAAUCCACCCAUGUGGGAGAUGUGUCUGUAAGGAACAGGGUCCUGGAUAGCAAAUAACUUGUGGCCACACUUGGAAGCAGCUUGCCAGGAACAGCUGCUUAUCCAAAUGAGGAUGCCAGCAACAUUUUCCUGGUUAUGGAAACAGUGAUCUGACAAAAGAUCCCUGGGUUACUGGACUUCAGAUGUUGAUAUCAAAAUAUCUUUGCCAAGCAAGUAUUGUCACAUCCAUGAGAAGCAGAUCUGAGUUUAACAGUUUGUUCAGGUCCUCUAGCAAAAUAUUCUAGCAGAACACUCAACUUGUUUCGUGCUUUUGUGUGUUCAAGGGGAAUUUCGGAGAACACUGCCAUAUAAACAAGUAUGUUAACAACAAAUAUUUCAGUAGCAAUAGCGACCCACGGGAAUAAGAUCAAAGAUUACUUUUUGAUGUCAUGAGAUAGAAGCUAGAUAUAGGUUUAUAUAUGGGUUUAUGGUUCAUGUCAUUAAUAGAAAAACAUGGCAGAAACUGAACAUGAAAAGCUAUUGUCUGGUCUGACUGCUUUGAAAUGGAACAUACUAAGACCUCUCAGUGAGCUGUAUUGUAAAGUAUUAGGGGCCAUCGAGCUUUUUUCAUGUGUGUGAAGUUAAAAGUAGUAUUGCUUUUCAUUUUGCUUUUCUCUGUGAGUCCUACAGCAUGCACUUGCAUUGAUACAUUCACAAUGUCCAACAUAGUUUUAAAUAAAAUGGAUUUACAUCAGUGUAUCUGAGAAUUG
rnacentral:lncRNA from 1 species